UCGAUCACGUUCGUGACCGUAGUCGUGUUAUUGGUCGCGGCACCGUCAGUCUUCACCGCGGACGCAUUCCCGCUAGGAACACUAUUUGACCGCAUGGUCAAAUUUGAAACACCUUGAGCACCAAGCUUAGUAACCAUGUAUUCAGUGGCAAUUGGUUCCGAGGCGUGUCUCCUGUGCUGAAUAAGUGAUGGUGAUGGUGACGAUGGAUUCUCACACAAUGAAUCUUCGGGUGGAAGUACAGGAACAUUGAGAUUAACACGUGUGAAGAAAGCCAUCUUUUCUCUAAAAUGCAAAAUUAAAGCUCAUCUCCCCAAGCGCCAACGAAUUGACAUCGCCAAUCGCUCCAGGCAGUUUUCUUCGAUUAGAAGCCUCGAAUACUCCCGAAUCACCCGCGACACUUUCGUCGGAAACAGCAGCCGAGACGGAUCUGGUGUUCGUACCAGAACUGCUAGCUCUCGAACGAAUACCAGUAGGAGGAGGUGUCUCGCUUAUAGGCGAAAGAGGCGGUGGUUCCUGCGGAGACAUUUGAUGCUGCAUAACGCAUACAGGCCUGCCAAGGCCGCUUCCUUGGGACAUAUUUCCAGAUUGCAAUUCGACAGGUGGAUGUGGGCCACCGACCAACUUAAGACGAUCCUGAGGUGCAACACAGGAUUGUUCGUGGGACGACGUUUGUUGCUGAGUAAGCCUAAGCUCCGCCAAACGGUCCUCUAGUUGAUUUCCAUCUAAGUGAGCAUUCGAUGAGGUUGUAGGUCUCUGAUGUUGUCUUCUCUGCAUCUCUACGUGUUCAUACGCAGGUGGUGGGCCCAUCGGGGCGUUCUCAUAAAGCGGUGAGACCGGUGGACUGACGCUGGAGAGACUCGAUCUCGGCGAUAAACUCGGCUGCGAUCGACCCGGAGAAGGCGUACUGACGAGAUUAUUCUGCUCCGAUCCUCUGAGCAAUCUUUCUACGCGUCUAUGCAGAUCAACCAUGUCGACUGGUCGCUCCUGUUGAGAGCUGACAGGACCCAGACAUUGAGGACCUCCGUAAAUAUCAGUGAAGCUCAAUCCAGAGCUAAGCGAACCCUUGCUACUGGUCGUGCUAAGGCUUCCAAGACUGGAACUGCUGCUCACCGAGAGCGUGCUCGCGCUGAGAGUCUUCAAUUGACCCUCGAGCAUCGCCAUCGAGCGUAAAGCGUCCCUCAACUGUUGCAACAGCAGUUGCUUCUCUUCGUGCAGUCGCACGCGAUCUGUAAUCGUCUUGUUCGACAAUUCAAGCGCGUUGUUUAGAUCCUGCUCGAGGCGACGGAUCUCACUCUGGAUC
rnacentral:misc_RNA from 1 species